rnacentral:rRNA from 1 species
UACGAAGGGGACUAGCGUUAUUCGGAAUUAUUGGGCGUAAAGGGCGCGUAGGCGGAUAGUUUAGUCAGAGGUAAAAGCCCAGGGCUCAACCUUGGAACUGCCUUUGAUACUGGCUAUCUUGAGUACGGGAGAGGUGUGUGGAACUCCGAGUGUAGAGGUGAAAUUCGUAGAUAUUCGGAAGAACACCAGUGGCGAAGGCGACACACUGGCCCGUUACUGACGCUGAGGCGCGAAAGCGUGGGGAGCAAACAGG